GUUUCUUUAGUAUACUUUGUACAACUUAUUGCAAAUAAGAAAGUUUUGAAACU
rnacentral:tRNA from 1 species